rnacentral:rRNA from 1 species
GGACGACCGCUGGCGGCAUGUCCUAACACAUGCAAGUCGAACGGGGUCGGAACUUCGGUUCCGGCUUACGUGGCGCACGGGUGAGUAACGCGUGGGAACGUGCCCCAAGGUACGGAACAACCGCUGGAAACGGCGGCUAAUACCGUAUGAUGUCUACGGACCAAAGAUUUAUCGCCUUGGGAUCGGCCCGCGUUGGAUUAGGUAGUUGGUGGGGUAAUGGCCUACCAAGCCGACGAUCCAUACCUGGUUUGAGAGGAUGAUCAGGCACACUGGGACUGAGACACGGCCCAGACUCCUACGGGAGGCAGCAGUGGGGAAUCAUAGACAAUGGGGGAAACCCUGAUCUUGCCAUGCCGCGUGAGCGAAGAAGGCCUUAGGGUUGUAAAGCUCUUUCACCGGUGACGAUAAUGACGGUAGCCGGAGAAGAAGCCCCGGCUAACUUCGUGCCAGCAGCCGCGGUAAUACGGAGGGGGCUAGCGUUGUUUCGAAUUACUGGGCGUAAAGCGCGC